CCUACGGGAGGCAGCAGUGGGGAAUAUUGCACAAUGGGGGAAACCCUGAUGCAGCGACGCCGCGUGAGUGAAGAAGUAAUUCGUUAUGUAAAGCUCUAUCAGCAGGGAAGAAAAUGACGGUACCUGAGUAAGAAGCCCCGGCUAACUACGUGCCAGCAGCCGCGGUAAUACGUAGGGGGCAAGCGUUAUCCGGAUUUACUGGGUGGAAAGGGAGCGUAGACGGCAGUGCAAGUCUGGAGUGAAAGGCGGGGGCUCAACCCCCGGACUGGCCGGGAAACUGUACGGCUGGAGUGCAGGAGAGGUAAGUGGAAUUCCUAGUGUAGCGGUGAAAUGCGUAGAUAUUAGGAGGAACACCAGUGGCGAAGGCGGCUUACUGGACUGUAACUGACGUUGAGGCUCGAAAGCGUGGGGAGCAAACAGGAUUAGAUACCCCUGUAGUC
rnacentral:rRNA from 1 species